rnacentral:lncRNA from 1 species
CCUGAACAGUUCAGCUCUGGGGCACAGAGAUGAGGAGACCUCCAGCUGCCUAGAAGGGCCUGAGGGACUGAGGGGCGGGUCGGUUGGACGACUCAGGCCGGGGUACAGAGAUGCAGAGACCUCCUGGUGCCUAGAAGGGCCGCAGGCACGGGUCACUUGCUGGCUUUGUUCUGGGGACUGGUGGUUCAGUGGGCGACACGCAGCAGUAGCGCUCUGGGAGCCAAGAACUCCCGCGGGUGGUGCCGCCCUGAUCUCGGGGUGCCUGCCUUUGUCCAGCAUCUCCUGUAAUUGUGGAGGAUUAUCAGGACCUGCCAAGGCGUCGGGGACCAGGCUCUCCCUGGACGACCCAACCGCAGAGCUGUGUCCAAGCCCAGCUGCGUCGCCAGCGAAGACGCUGGGGUCUGGAGGAGGGGCGACUCAAGCGCCCAUUAGGAAUGUCUGCACUGAACCCAAGGAGGUGAUCAGGAAAAGUCUGUUGGACAGAUCCUUCUGAGCAAAGCAUUUGCUGUGCCUGAGAAUGAGGGUGAGUUGUUCUCCUUUCUGAGUGAGCAGACAUCCAGUCUGCCUGUGAAGUUAGUCUGGAGGCCGGAAUCUUGCAUACUAAAGGAAAUUGGAUCAGGAUUGAAAAGGAUUCUUUCCUUUCUCCUCCCUGCAGUUCCCCUGCCCCAUCUCCCUUCUCCCUCCCUUUCUUGAGAUAAGACCUCAGUACCCUAGGCCACCCUCAAAACUGCUAUGUAGUCAAAGGCUGGCCUUGAACUCCUGAUCCUCCUGUCUCCACUUUCCAAUAUUAUAUACUUCUACCACUAUGUCUGGCAGAAAAGGAAAAUUUCUUGAGGAUAUUAUCAGGUAAUAGAAAACACAGAGAUGAGAGGAGGGAACCUCUGGACCUUGAGGAGAGAAGUUGGGGUGAUGUGAAAGAAUGACAUAAUUAGACUGGGGAGUCAUGAGACUUAAAUUUGAAUCCCAUAAGGUCCAGUCUCUCUAUCUGUCCAUCGAAUAGAAGACUUGGAGCUGGAUCAUCACAUGAAAUAGUGGGGGAAGUUUCCAGAACUCGAGAUUGCUGUGCGUUCCAGAUCAGCCUGGGCUACCUAGUGAGACCUUGUUAAAAAAUAAAAACCAAAAACUCGGGGUUGGGGAUUUAGCUCAGUGGUAGAGCGCUUGCUAGGCCCUGGGUUUGGUCCCCAGCUCCAAAAAAAAAAAAAAAAAAAAAGAAAGAAAAAAAGAGAAAGAGAGAAAAAAAAAAAAACCAAAAACGCCUAGUCUGCUGGUAUGUCUGUUCUAGCUUCCAACAUUCUGACAGUCCCUGAAAAAUGUGACCGAUCACUUUCCUAGUAAAUGUCGACUCUUGGACUGUUUAUACUGAGAUAUGGUUGCUAGGUCUACAAAUACAUUGUCAUAUUUAUUUAGAAUACGGAGUCUUUUUAAAGAAAAUUAUUGCAACCUGGCUUGGUGGCACAUGCCUU